rnacentral:misc_RNA from 1 species
UCUCUCUCUCUCUCUCUCUAUCAGGGCACAAGUGCACACGGUCGCUCUCUUUCUCUCCCUCUGCCGAAUUUGCUUUCUCUUUGGCUUUUUUCCCUCAGCAAUGUAGCUCCCCGACAAAAAUCUGUUGCGUAAUGGCCAAGUGUCACCGGAAUAACAUCGGAUCUUUAAUCCUUGAUCACUCCCCCUCCGCUAAUGCAUCCGCCGGCGGUCAUUUCCGACUAUGGUCCGCCUUCUCCACUGCUGCAUUCCGCCGUAAAAUCUUUGAUGCUGUCAGCUGUGGUGGUAGCUCCCGCUACCGCCACCAUGAGGACGACUUUUCUUCCACCACAACAUCCAGCUCUGCUACGACAACCAUUAGUGCGAGUUUCACUGCGAAGUCCGAUGACAAUAAUGUGAGUGAGAAAAAGGAAGGGAGAGCGAGAAAUGGAAAGUCGGAGAAGUUGUCGGAUCUGUUGAGUAUUGCAGAGGCGGAGAAUGAAAUCGAGACGAAGAAGAAAGUCGAGGAGUUGGAGGAGCUGAAACGAGUAGUGAAGGAAUUUCAGGUUGAGAGCGAAACGAAGAGCAAAGAAGCUGCUUGUCGUGUAAGGUUACUUUCUAAGGAAGACUCGGAAGCAAGAGUCACUCUCGCUAUGUUAGGAGCCAUCCCUCCUCUAGUUGGAAUGCUUGAUGUGGAAGAUGUCGAGUCUCAGAUCGCUUCUCUAUAUGCCUUGCUCAAUCUUGGGAUCGGCAAUGAUGCGAACAAAGCUGCAAUUGUUAAAGCAGGGGCUGUUCACAAAAUGCUGAAGAUCAUAGAAUCUCCAAGUCCUCCUAACCCAUUUGUAUCUGAAGCGAUAGUGGCAAAUUUCCUUGGCUUGAGCGCAUUGGAUUCAAACAAACCCAUUAUAGGUUCUUCAGGUGCAAUCCCCUUCUUGGUAGAUGCACUUGAGGAUUUGGACCAUAAAAGUAGCCUUCAAGCGAAGCAAGAUGCUCUUAGAGCUCUGUACAAUCUUUCAAUAUUCUCAUCCAAUGUUUCAUUUAUUUUGGAAACAAAUUUGAUCCCAUUUCUUAUGAAUAGGCUGGGGGACAUGGAAGUUAGUGAAAGAAUUCUUUCAAUUUUGAGCAAUGUGGCAUCGACUCCAGAAGGUAGAAAGGCCAUUAGCAUAAUGCCAGAUGCUUUCCCUAUUUUGAUAGAUGUUUUGAAUUGGACCGACUCACCUGUAUGCCAAGAGAAAGCAUCUUACAUAUUGAUGGUGAUGGCACACAAAGCCUAUGGGGAUAGACAGGCCAUGAUUGAGGCAGGAAUUGUAUCAUCAUUGCUUGAGUUAACGCUUUUGGGUAGCACAUUAGCGCAGAAAAGGGCUUCAAGGAUCCUGGAAUUUUUGAGAAUAGACAAGGGGAAGCAAGUUUCAGAGAAUUAUGGUGGGAAUUUGGGUGCAGCAGUGUCUGCUCCUAUUUGCGGAUCUUCAUCAUCUUCCACCAACCCAAAUGGGGUUUCAAAGGAGUCUUUGGAGGAGGCAGAUGAUAUGAUGAGCGAGGAAAAGAAAGCAGUGAAACAAUUAGUCCAACAGAGCUUGCAGAACAAUAUGAGGAAAAUUGUCAAGAGGGCCAAUUUGCCGCAAGAUUUUGUUCCAUCAGAACAUUUUAAGUCCCUCACAUCAAGUUCAACAUCCAAGAGUUUACCGUUUUGAUAGGUGUGUUGAUUGAAGGGAGCAUCUUGAAGUUAGUCUUCUCAUCAUUGUUCUAAUUGCCCCUUCGGUCCUUUUAGUAGCAUUGUUAGCAUGUGAAAUAGCCAUCAUGUGUUAGAUUUUGUAUAAUUUCAGAAUACUAUGGUAAAUAUUUUCAUUUUUCGUCUGAUUUGUGCGGGAAUGAGUUACAUGGUUUUGCUGAUGUUUAUUUUGGUUUGAAUCUGGAUGCAUCCAUAGAAUGGUUGCAGGGUGACAGGGUCAUAGUUGAAAACUUCUGUAAAAUGAUUAAUCUUUUCCUUGGGAUGCUUCUCUAUCAGUGGUGUGCUCUGCAAAUUGGGAAUAAUCUGAGGGUUGAAUUUUUUCUUUUUCCUUUUUCAUUUGUGUUGUAUAGCUUAGCUAUGAUAGAUUAGAGUAUCCCCAAAUUCCCCAUAAUUAAGUGGUCAAUUUCAACCUAUUAAUACAUUCUUGUCUACCUCUCGCCCCUACUUGAUAAUUUUUAUAUUCCUUCCAUACGCCACUUCCGUUCAUGAAAAUCGUUUUCUACAGUACAAAAAUGGGGACCAGUUACUCCCUAUGUUCAUCUGGGGAAUCUUCCACUUUGUUAUUUUCUAUUUAAGUCUCAGAUUUCAUCCAGAAUCGCUGAAUUUACAUGGUUGAAUUGUAUUUAAUUUUAUGUUUGUGGUAGGAAAAUGUAUAAUUAACUUCAACCUCAUUUAUAGUUUUAUUUGAUUAAUUUAAAAUCUCUGUGACUUUCUAUGAUUUCUGUGUAACAUGUGCAUUGACCUCGUUUACUGAUCUGUUUUCUCCUUUAUUAUCUAUUAUACAGGUUGGAAGAGUGGAAGAAGAAUCUAAGAUGAGCUGUAUGCUUAUAAAAUUUAUGCACCUUUCUCCCCGCAAGCUAUUUUUUUUUAAGUGAUGUUAGGUGGUGGCGUAUGGUCAUUUUGUAAUCUUUUAAGCUUAUCAUUCAUUUCCCUGUUACCUCUUGUUUUUUUCUCUUAGUUCAUUUUUACAUUUCCUGAUGUAAAUAUUCUGUUGUAAUAUAAUUCUCAUUCUUGCAAAUAUUGAAUGACUUCUGUUUAUG